AGCGAACGUUAGCGGCACGCCUAACACAUGCAAGUCGCACGAGAAAGGGAGCAAUCCUGAGUAGAGUGGCGCACGGGUGCGUAACACGUAGAUAACCUGCCCUUUGGGAGGGGGAGUAACGUUCCGAAAGGAGCGCUAAUACCGCAUACAGCAAGAGCCGGUUUGUCCGGUUUUUGGUCGAAAGGUAAGGGACCCGCCAAGGCCGUACCGCCAGAGGAGGGGUCGUGCGGCCCACUCAGC
rnacentral:rRNA from 1 species